UACAACUAAGACUAAGUAUUGAAAUCAUUGAAUGGUGAUUAAGAACUUUUUGAAAUAUCGCGUCGAGUUAAUCCCAUCGUCCCAAUUUCUAUUGUCGAUGGUAACCUGAAUCUAUUAUUUAAGUCUUUUCAUCGAACACGAUUAUUGUUCCGGACGUUAUUUUUAUUCUUGAAUAAUCUUGAGUUAGUAAGGAGGCGUCGUAUUGUCCAUUGAGGACGAGCCUUUGCGUUACACUUUUGAGCGACCUCUCUCGAAUAUAUCUUUCGAAAAGGUGUCUCUUCUCGGCCAGUUAAAUGUUCUCUUCUCUCGCUAAGUGCGAAUUCGAGGCACUUUCUCCCCACGCUAUUCACAAUGGGACGCUAAUUAAAAAAAGGCGACCGAAGAGUUACGAUGCAACAUUUGCACGGUUCCAAUUAUUAUCAAGCAACGGAGAGUGAGAGAAGAAGGUGAGGAAGAAAAGGAGGUGGUGCUCAACCCAAUUUCCCGAUGCCCCGUUCGAAGACGAUGUUGUGGCCGUCGUUUUCUUUUCAGCUGUCAGGAAUUAUGUUGUUUACAACGGUCUGAGAACGCGGCAUCCCCUUCAAUUUACGGACGCCGAAAAGCGUUCCGAAGACCUUAAUACCAUCGCGUUUUACGUGCCAUUGUUCUUGAACGUUCGCUUCGGGGACCGGUCGCUUUAAUGAGUGACCGAAAAUACUGUCGUCGACCGCAACAAAAAAAUUAAGAGGAAUAAAAAAAAAUAAACGUACGAAGAAACUCGAAAUGAUAUUGGUUGUAAUUCUUGUUUUAUGCACCAUCGAAAUUUCUUUGGGGGCUGUGAGUGUUGAAAAUGCGCCGGUUAACGAUCCGAAAUUGAAAGCGCAGGGUUAUACCUGUUAUAAUAAAGAAGUUGGGCCCAUGAAAUCCGGGGAAGCUAACAAUAAUUUUAGUCAAAAAAGUUGUAUGAAAGUUAGUUGUAACAAUGGUGUCUUCCAAUAUGAAACUUGUGGUGUUUAUAAAGUUGAAGGGCAACCAACUCGGCCACAAGAUCCAACAAAACCAUACCCAGAAUGUUGUAAUUAUCCUUUUUAAUUUUUGAAGAAAUUUCUAAUCACUUUAUUUUAAUUUUGGUAGUUUUAUCAUAAGCAAUGAAGUGGUUGAUAUUUGUCAAAUAAAAAUUCAAAUCACUAUAUAAACCACGCGUUUCUUUAACAGAUUAUACUCAUUCCUAAAAUGGCAUCAAAUAAGUUGGUUCUUUCCUUCCUUUUCCUUUGUGUUAUUCAAAUUUCUUUAGCUGCUGUAGCAAUGGAGUUCGCACCGGUUAAUGAUCUAAUAUUAAAAGCCCAAGGUUAUGUUUGUUUCAGCGAAGGGAUUGGUUUAAUGAAAGAUGGUGAAGUUAAUAAUAAUUAUAGUCAAGGAGUUUGUGGAUCAGUUGGAUGUGGCAAUGGACUUUUACAUUAUGAAUCUUGUGGUGUAGUCAUAGUCGAAGGUAUACCAAAACAGGCAGAAGAUCCAACAAAGCCAUACCCACAAUGUUGUAAUUAUCCUCAUUAAUUCUGAUGAAUUAACGUUGUAAUAAAUUUGAUCAAAUA